CAGCCGCCACGGCGGCGGGCAGGGCCAUCCGGCGAGCCGCGUACCACUCCGACGGCGGCCCUCCUCCCCGCAAGCUCCGGGGCCCCCGAUUCAGCCCUCUCAACAGGCACAACCACGAGGUUGAUGCGUUGCUCGAGGAAGUCAAGAAUACGCCGGUUAGCAUGAUUUCCGAUUACUUAAUUAUCAGAACUGUGCGGCAUUCUAUUUUGGCUCGUCAGCAGAUUCUGGUUCAAAAUGUUCUCC